UACGUAGGUGGCAAGCGUUGUCCGGAUUUACUGGGCGUAAAGAGCGCGCAGGCGGUCGAUUUAGUCGCGUGUGAAAGCCCCCGGCUCAACUGGGGAGGGUCACGCGAUACUGAUCGACUCGAAGGCAGGAGAGGGUAGUGGAAUUCCCGGUGUAGUGGUGAAAUGCGUAGAUAUCGGGAGGAACACCGGUGGCGAAGGCGGGUCUCUGGGCAGUAACUGACGCUGAGGAGCGAAAGCGUGGUGAGCGAACAGG
rnacentral:rRNA from 1 species